rnacentral:rRNA from 1 species
GACGAACCGUGCGAACGUUGUUCGGAAUCACUGGGCUUAAAGGGCGCGUAGGCGGGCUAUCAAGUCCGGGGUGAAAUCCUCCAGCUUAACUGGAGAACGGCCUCGGAUACUGAUGGUCUCGAGGAGGAUAGGGGCACACGGAACUGUGGGUGGAGCGGUGAAAUGCGUUGAUAUCCAUAGGAACUCCGGUGGCGAAAGCGGUGUGCUGGAUCCUUUCUGACGCUGAGGCGCGAAAGCCAGGGGAGCAAACAGG